GACAUCCACAGAACUUGGCAGAGAUCGCCCUGGUCGCCGUUCGGGAACUGUGAGACAGGUGCUGCAGUGGCUGUCGUCAGCUCGUGUUGUGAAAUGUUGGGUUAAGUCCCGCAACGAGCGCAACCCUUAUCCUUUGUUGCCAGCGAUUCGGUCGGGAACUCAAAGGAGACUGCCAGUGAUAAACUGGAGGAAGGUGGGGAUGACGUCAAGUCAUCAUGGCCCUUACGACCAGGGCUACACACGUGCUACAAUGGCAUAUACAAAGAGAAGCGACCUCGCGAGAGCAAGCGGACCUCAUAAAGUAUGUCGUAGUCCGGAUUGGAGUCUGCAACUCGACUCCAUGAAGUCGGAAUCGCUAGUAAUCGUGGAUCAGAAUGCCACGGUGAAUACGUUCCCGGGCCUU
rnacentral:rRNA from 1 species